UACAGAGGGGGCAAGCGUUAUUCGGAAUUAUUGGGCGUAAAGGGCGCGUAGGUGGCUUGGCAAGUGGAAGGUGAAAUCCCUCGGCUUAACCGAGGAACUGCCCUCCAAACUGCUUCGCUUGAGACCGGGAGAGGUGAGUGGAAUUCCCAGUGUAGCGGUGAAAUGCGUAGAUAUUGGGAGGAACACCAGUGGCGAAGGCGGCUCACUGGACCGGUACUGACGCUGAUGCGCGAAAGCGUGGGGAGCAAACGGG
rnacentral:rRNA from 1 species